rnacentral:sRNA from 1 species
CUCUGUGAUAACUCUGUAGGCAUUACUUCGAACUAGACGUUAGAACAUACAGAAAAUGACAGCCCUUCUACGAGUGAUUAGCCUGGUCGUGAUUAGCGUGGUGGUGAUUAUUAUCCCACCGUGCGGGGCUGCACUUGGAGAAAGAAAGGCUUAAAAAUCAAGCCUGAAUCGAAAAGAACCCCCGCACCGAAAGGUCCGGGGGUUUUUUGUUGGGUAAAAAAUAGCACUGAGAAACGGAUGCUUUGUCGCAGAAUAAAAUUCUGUUUCUCAAG